rnacentral:rRNA from 1 species
GGUUAAGCGACUAAGCGUACACGGUGGAUGCCCUGGCAGUCAGAGGCGAUGAAGGACGUGCUAAUCUGCGAUAAGCGUCGGUAAGGUGAUAUGAACCGUUAUAACCGGCGAUUUCCGAAUGGGGAAACCCAGUGUGAUUCGUCACACUAUCAUUAACUGAAUCCAUAGGUUAAUGAGGCGAACCGGGGGAACUGAAACAUCUAAGUACCCCGAGGAAAAGAAAUCAACCGAGAUUCCCCCAGUAGCGGCGAGCGAACGGGGAGCAGCCCAGAGCCUGAAUCAGUGUGUGUAUUAGUGGAAGCGUCUGGAAAGGCGCGCGAUACAGGGUGACAGCCCCGUACACAAAAAUGCACAUACUGUGAGAACUCGAUGAGUAGGGCGGGACACGUGGUAUCCUGUCUGAAUAUGGGGGGACCAUCCUCCAAGGCUAAAUACUCCUGACUGACCGAUAGUGAACCAGUACCGUGAGGGAAAGGCGAAAAGAACCCCGGCGAGGGGAGUGAAAAAGAACCUGAAACCGUGUACGUACAAGCAGUGGGAGCCUCUUAAUGGGGUGACUGCGUACCUUUUGUAUAAUGGGUCAGCGACUUAUAUUCUGUAGCAAGGUUAACCGAAUAGGGGAGCCGAAGGGAAACCGAGUCUUAACUGGGCGUUAAGUUGCAGGGUAUAGACCCGAAACCCGGUGAUCUAGCCAUGGGCAGGUUGAAGGUUGGGUAACACUAACUGGAGGACCGAACCGACUAAUGUUGAAAAAUUAGCGGAUGACUUGUGGCUGGGGGUGAAAGGCCAAUCAAACCGGGAGAUAGCUGGUUCUCCCCGAAAGCUAUUUAGGUAGCGCCUCGUGAAUUCAUCUCCGGGGGUAGAGCACUGUUUCGGCAAGGGGGUCAUCCCGACUUACCAACCCGAUGCAAACUGCGAAUACCGGAGAAUGUUAUCACGGGAGACACACGGCGGGUGCUAACGUCCGUCGUGAAGAGGGAAACAACCCAGACCGCCAGCUAAGGUCCCAAAGUCAUGGUUAAGUGGGAAACGAUGUGGGAAGGCCCAGACAGCCAGGAUGUUGGCUUAGAAGCAGCCAUCAUUUAAAGAAAGCGUAAUAGCUCACUGGUCGAGUCGGCCUGCGCGGAAGAUGUAACGGGGCUAAACCAUGCACCGAAGCUGCGGCAGCGACGCUUAUGCGUUGUUGGGUAGGGGAGCGUUCUGUAAGCCUGCGAAGGUGUGCUGUGAGGCAUGCUGGAGGUAUCAGAAGUGCGAAUGCUGACAUAAGUAACGAUAAAGCGGGUGAAAAGCCCGCUCGCCGGAAGACCAAGGGUUCCUGUCCAACGUUAAUCGGGGCAGGGUGAGUCGACCCCUAAGGCGAGGCCGAAAGGCGUAGUCGAUGGGAAACAGGUUAAUAUUCCUGUACUUGGUGUUACUGCGAAGGGGGGACGGAGAAGGCUAUGUUGGCCGGGCGACGGUUGUCCCGGUUUAAGCGUGUAGGCUGGUUUUCCAGGCAAAUCCGGAAAAUCAAGGCUGAGGCGUGAUGACGAGGCACUACGGUGCUGAAGCAACAAAUGCCCUGCUUCCAGGAAAAGCCUCUAAGCAUCAGGUAACAUCAAAUCGUACCCCAAACCGACACAGGUGGUCAGGUAGAGAAUACCAAGGCGCUUGAGAGAACUCGGGUGAAGGAACUAGGCAAAAUGGUGCCGUAACUUCGGGAGAAGGCACGCUGAUAUGUAGGUGAAGUCCCUUGCGGAUGGAGCUGAAAUCAGUCGAAGAUACCAGCUGGCUGCAACUGUUUAUUAAAAACACAGCACUGUGCAAACACGAAAGUGGACGUAUACGGUGUGACGCCUGCCCGGUGCCGGAAGGUUAAUUGAUGGGGUUAGCGGUAACGCGAAGCUCUUGAUCGAAGCCCCGGUAAACGGCGGCCGUAACUAUAACGGUCCUAAGGUAGCGAAAUUCCUUGUCGGGUAAGUUCCGACCUGCACGAAUGGCGUAAUGAUGGCCAGGCUGUCUCCACCCGAGACUCAGUGAAAUUGAACUCGCUGUGAAGAUGCAGUGUACCCGCGGCAAGACGGAAAGACCCCGUGAACCUUUACUAUAGCUUGACACUGAACAUUGAGCCUUGAUGUGUAGGAUAGGUGGGAGGCUUUGAAGUGUGGACGCCAGUCUGCAUGGAGCCGACCUUGAAAUACCACCCUUUAAUGUUUGAUGUUCUAACGUUGGCCCCUAAUCGGGGUUGCGGACAGUGUCUGGUGGGUAGUUUGACUGGGGCGGUCUCCUCCUAAAGAGUAACGGAGGAGCACGAAGGUUGGCUAAUCCUGGUCGGACAUCAGGAGGUUAGUGCAAUGGCAUAAGCCAGCUUGACUGCGAGCGUGACGGCGCGAGCAGGUGCGAAAGCAGGUCAUAGUGAUCCGGUGGUUCUGAAUGGAAGGGCCAUCGCUCAACGGAUAAAAGGUACUCCGGGGAUAACAGGCUGAUACCGCCCAAGAGUUCAUAUCGACGGCGGUGUUUGGCACCUCGAUGUCGGCUCAUCACAUCCUGGGGCUGAAGUAGGUCCCAAGGGUAUGGCUGUUCGCCAUUUAAAGUGGUACGCGAGCUGGGUUUAGAACGUCGUGAGACAGUUCGGUCCCUAUCUGCCGUGGGCGCUGGAGAACUGAGGGGGGCUGCUCCUAGUACGAGAGGACCGGAGUGGACGCAUCACUGGUGUUCGGGUUGUCAUGCCAAUGGCACUGCCCGGUAGCUAAAUGCGGAAGAGAUAAGUGCUGAAAGCAUCUAAGCACGAAACUUGCCCCGAGAUGAGUUCUCCCUGACUCCCUGAGAGUCCUGAAGGAACGUUGAAGACGACGACGUUGAUAGGCCGGGUGUGUAAGCGCAGCGAUGCGUUGAGCUAACCGGUACUAAUGAACCGUGAGGCUUAACCUU